ACAUUUACCUGGCAGGGGAGGUACCAUGAUCACGAAGGUGGUUUUCCCAGGGCGAGGCUUAUCCAUUGCACUCUGGGUGUGUUGACUCCUUUGAUUACCCCAAAGGUGGGAAACUCAACUGCAUAAUUUGUGGUAGUGGGGACUGUGUUCCCGCUCUCCAA